rnacentral:rRNA from 1 species
GUCCAUGCCGUAAACGAUGUAUACUUGGUGUAGCUGGGCUCAACCCUAGCUGUGCCGGAGCUAACGCGUUAAGUAUACCGCCUGGGGAGUACGCUCGCAAGGGUGAAACUCAAAAGAAUUGACGGGGGCCCGCACAAGCAGUGGAGCAUGUGGUUUAAUUCGAUGCAACGCGAAGAACCUUACCCAGGUUUGAAAUGCAGAGGACGAUACUAGAGAUGGUAUUUCCCGUAAGGGUCUCUGCACAGGUGCUGCAUGGCUGUCGU